GCCUGACAGAAGUGCUAGGAAGAGAUAGAAUCCACAUGAAAAGAGAGAGAAGAGCAUCUUCACAGACAGGCUUGCUAACCGAGUAAAGAAGACUUUAAACUAGAUUCACUGGGAGGUGGAGGCUAAAGUCCUGAGGCCCUGGUUCUCAUGGAGGACUUCAAUCACCUGCUGGGAGGACAACACACCAGUGUGCAGGCAAUCCAGGAAGAUUUUGGAAAGUGUUGGGGACAACUUCCAGGGCAACACCCAUGAAACAUGGAUUGUCCCCAGCAGAAAUCCUGUUUAACAGGAAACUCAAAACCAGGCUGCCAAAUCUUGUGGAUGAUGCUCAUCAGAAGAAAAAGCAAAAUGUGAAAACAUUAAAAAAAUUUGACAAACUCAAACAAAAAUGGCACUGUGAUAGGGGCUCCAGGGAGUUACCACAUCUGCACAACAAAAUAUCGUGCUUAUUUCAGAUGGACAAAUGUGGAAACAAAAAGCAAUAGUUUCCCAUCAAAUAGCUCUCUGAUCCUAUAAAGUAGUCACACUGGAAGGAUAGGUAUUAAGAAGGAACGGACAACACUUGCAGCCUGUAAAGCAGUGAAAAGAAGCAGCAUUGGGAGAUUCACCAAAGGAAACAGAGCUAACAACAAAACAAAAAAAAUGACAAAGGAGAUUUGAACAUAACACAGAAGUAGAGACAUCUGAACAAGGAAACCAAACAAGAACUGAACCAAUAAGGCUUGAGAAUGCAGAGAAACUGAGAAGAUCACUUAGAGCUAAAAAGCCAACACAAAGACUAAUAGAGACUUGUUAAAUGUGCUUUAACAAUGGAUUGAACUGAACUUCCAAUGUCAGUGGGGAUAUGUUACAUGUAAAGCGGGAAGAUGUGUGGGUACCUUUAAGAGUGUUAUGUAUAAGUUGUUAUACUGGACUGGGAAUGUCAGGAGGGAACCAGAGGGAAUGAUCAGCAGAUUCAUAGGUUCAGAAAGCUCUCUGAAUAAACAAGCUUUAUCAUUCUGUAAGUUUAACUCCUUGGUCUUUUAAGAAUAACACAAACUUAUCAGUGGUGGCAGAUGACAGAACUAGGAGCAAUGGUCUCAAGUUGCAAUGGUCUUAAGGGAAGUUUAAGUUAGAUAUUAGGAAGAAUUUUCUCACUAGGAGGGUAGUAAAACACUGGAACAAGUUCCCGAGACAGGUUGCGGAAUCUCCAUCCUUAGAGGUUUCUAAGACUCAGAUAGACAAAGCCUUGACUUGGAUGGUGUAGUUGGAGGUGGUCCUGUUUUGAGCGGUGGGUUGGAGUGGAUGAACUCCUGAGAUCGCUUCCAGGGGGACCUAAUUUUCUAUGAUUCUAUGAUUUUUAGUCUGAUGAUUUUGGUACUAGGUAUAUACCUCAACAUUUCUCCCUUGUAGGAAGUAAAAAAUGUCCCCUUGUCACAUAAAUAUAAAACUCCUGUU